rnacentral:rRNA from 1 species
GAUGAACGCUGGCGGCGUGCCUAACACAUGCAAGUCGAACGAAGCAAUAAAGACGGAGAUUCGUCAAAGCCUUUAUUGACUUAGUGGCGGACGGGUGAGUAACGCGUGAGCAACCUGCCUUUCAGAGGGGGACAACAGUUGGAAACGACUGCUAAUACCGCAUGAUGCAUGACCGGGGCAUCCCGGACAUGCCAAAGAUUUAUCGCUGAAAGAUGGCCUCGCGUCUGAUUAGCUAGUUGGCGGGUAACGCCCACAAGGCGACGAUCAGUAGCCGGUCUGAGAGGAUGAACGGCCACAUUGGGACUGAGAUACGGCCCAG